GACGAACGCUGGCGGCGUGCUUAACACAUGCAAGUCGAACGGAAAGGCCCUGCUUUUGUGGGGUGCUCGAGUGGCGAACGGGUGAGUAACACGUGAGUAACCUGCCCUUGACUUUGGGAUAACUUCAGGAAACUGGGGCUAAUACCGGAUAGGAGCUCCUGCUGCAUGGUGGGGGUUGGAAAGAUUCGGCGGUUGGGGAUGGACUCGCGGCUUAUCAGCUUGUUGGUGGGGUAGUGGCUUACCAAGGCUUUGACGGGUAGCCGGCCUGAGAGGGUGACCGGCCACAUUGGGACUGAGAUACGGCCCAGACUGCUACGGGAGGCAGCAGUGGGGAAUAUUGCACAAUGGGCGGAAGCCUGAUGCAGCAACGCCGCGUGCGGGAUGACGGCCUUCUGGUUGUAAACCGCUUUCGCCUGUGACGAAGCGUGAGUGACGGUAAUGGGUAAAGAAGCACCGGCUAACUACGUG
rnacentral:rRNA from 1 species